GAGCGUGGAAAUGAAAAACGAGUUUAAGUGAACUUGCAAAUAACUAUUCUAUGUUCUUAUUAGUGAAUUACGCAUAACUAUUCUAUGUUCUUAUUAGUGAAUAUCACAGAAGGCUAGAAUGUGGUACAGCGUUCAUCGAUCUCUUACAUUCCAACAAUUCGUGUUCAAUAUUAUUAAAGACGGCCGGUCAAUCAAGCUAUUACAUGAUGGCUUCAUCUACCAUAAAGACUAAAUGACUUGGUACUGGCAAUGCUCUCUGCGAUGAGAAUAAGAGGCUUCCAAUAAAUGCUCAGGCCACGACAGAACAGCCAUAAGCCAAACCCUGAUAAGUUGUUCCGAACAUAACCACCUGCCUGAUCCACUGGCUACCGAAACAGCGAAAUACAGAGCUUAAUUGAAAAGAAAAGCUUCUGAAGGAAUCGAGAAGCCAGAGAUAACUAUCCGGAUAACAUCGGCUCAAUUCCCUUCAGACGUGAGUGCCACGUGGCUUGUACAAGCACACAAUUUUACUCGCUACAACUUAUUGCAUGCAAG